GUGGGGUAAUUUUCCGCAAUGGGCGAAAGCCUGACGGAGCAAUGCCGCGUGGAGGUGGAAGGCCUACGGGUCGUCAACUUCUUUUCUCGGAGAAGAAACAAUGACGGUAUCUGAGGAAUAAGCAUCGGCUAACUCUGUGCCAG
rnacentral:rRNA from 1 species